GCUUAACACAUGCAAGUCGAACGCGAAAGUUUCUUUCGGGAAAUGAGUAGAGUGGCGCACGGGUGAGUAACGCGUAAGUAAUCUACCCUGGUAUUUGGGAUAACCCACCGAAAGGUGUGCUAAUACCGAAUACGCUGAUUUAUCAGGAAAGGUGGCCUCUUCAUGAAAGCUACUGUACCAGGAGGAGCUUGCGUACCAUUAGCUAGUUGGUAGGGUAAAGGCCUACCAAGGCGACGAUGGUUAGCGGGUCUGAGAGGAUGAUCCGCCACACUGGAACUGAAACACGGACCAGACUCCUACGGGAGGCAGCAGUGAGGAAUAUUGCGCAAUGGGGGAAACCCUGACGCAGCGACGCCGCGUGGAUGAUGAAGGCCUUCGGGUCGUAAAAUCCUGUCAGAUGGGAAGAAGUGUAUAUCUGCUAAUACCAGGUAUAUUUGACGGUACCAUCAAAGGAAGCACCGGCUAACUCCGUGCCAGCAGCCGCGGUAAUACGGAGGGUGCAAGCGUUGUUCGGAAUUACUGGGCGUAAAGCGCGCGUAGGCGGCUUUUUAAGUCAGAUGUGAAAGUCCACGGCUCAACCGUGGAAGUGCAUUUGAAACUGGGGAGCUUGAGUAUUGGAGGGGGUGGUGGAAUUCCCGGUGUAGAGGUGAAAUUCGUAGAUAUCGGGAGGAAUACCGGUGGUGAAGGCGACCACCUGGCCAAAUACUGACGCUGAGGUGCGAAAGCGUGGGGAGCAAACAGGAUUA
rnacentral:rRNA from 1 species